ACAUACACUUCUUCUUUUUUUGUAAAAUACACAUACACUUUUCGUUUUCAUAUGGUUUCAGUGUUUUAUCUUCUUAACGAAUUAGUGUUCUAAUUUAAAUUUCAUGUUUAUUCUUUUGCAGGUCUAAUAGAUCCUGGGAUGAUGGGUAGCAUAAGACAGAUCGAUAAACCUUCCUGUAUUAUUUCCCGAGCACCGUAGUCUCACCAUGUGAUCAUCUCUUUAACAUAAGAGGUUUAAGCUUAAAGGACAUUUGUAUCCAUGUCUUGAACCGUAUGAGUACUAACAUGAUUAACAGAUGAAGAACUCGUGAAUUUAUAUGUUGGUGAGUGUGACAGUUGGUGUUGUAAAUGGUGUGUCUAAAAUUUCUAAAUCAUAGACGAGGUAUGCAUAACUGAGGUAUAAACUAUCUACGGUGUUCAAGAUAGACGCGAGCAAAGCAAAACCGUUGAUCAAGAAAGCUAAAUCCGCCAUUGAUGACCCCGCCAAUACAAAUCCAAAACUGUAAUUCCUCCGCCGGCGACGGGAAUUUGCGGUGGUUCCGGUGAAGAAACAGAGCAUCAUCAUCAUCAAGCGAGAUUUCUUCCGGCGCCUGUUUUAACGCCGCAUUAUCAUCAACCACCGUCGUCACGAGCCAGUGCACAAAUUCAAGAUCUUCGUCUCUCGCUUCACUCCUUCCAAAAUGGUCCUCCUUUCGCUGAUCAAACAGAGCAUGCUCUGUUCUCCGGCCAGAGCCAGAGCAAUCCAUUAGUGGUUGUAUCAUCGACGGCGAGCUGGGACCAGUCGCAACAGAAUCAUUGACUGUUGACGUGACUGGCGGAGCUGCUGAUUCAGCCGCAAGUGGAGGAGGAGGGUUUGUGUUUACUUCCCCCGCUACAACGACGUCGUCGUUUCAGACAGGUUAUGGCCAAUAGUCAGGUUUUGUUUUGUGUAGCAUAUUAUAUGUUCUUGUAUUAAAUAAAUAAAGGGAAAUUUGCUCC